AUGAGAGAGUGAAAGAACUGGGAAGCAGCGCCAGUGCAUUUAAUUGCUUCCCAUCUUCACGCAUGUUCCCUUUUGUCCAUAAAUAUCUCCCUCAUUAUUCUCAAGUAACUAAAAAAAACCCUAAUGGUGGCUCAAAGGCCAAUCCCAUCGCCCCUCACUCUCUCUGAGCUUUGAAGCUCACUCCAGCGGCAGAGCAUCCCUCUCACUCUCUCACUCGCAAAAUAUAUUCAGAGAACUUCAUUCCCUCAGAUCUUGGCCAGUUUUUUCGUUCAUGGAAGCACAAAAUGGAGGUACUCGCAAACGGAAACGGAUCGCAAGGGCCCAAACCAGAUCAAGCUGAGGAUUCUCAGAGCAAUGAGGCAGGAGUGGUAGAAGGUAGGCCUACGAAAAGGGAUCAUAUUGUCCUGAUAGAUAUUUGGCUCACUCUAUCUCUCUGAUCCCCCUACCAGUUUGCUGCCGCCGGCCACUUUCACUCACUCUGUAUCCGGCCUCCAUCAGUUUCUCAGUGCCUCCUCGCUACUGCCAUCCGCCGCCUGCGAACUCCGCUGUCUCGCCCUCGCUCCACGCAGUCUCGUCGCACCGUUCUGCUCGAACUGCCUCCCUACCUCACCGU